rnacentral:rRNA from 1 species
CGGCAGCACGGGAGCAAUCCUGGUGGCGAGUGGCGAACGGGUGAGUAAUACAUCGGAACGUGUCCUGUAGUGGGGGAUAGCCCGGCGAAAGCCGGAUUAAUACCGCAUACGCUCUACGGAGGAAAGGGGGGGAUCUUAGGACCUCCCGCUACAGGGGCGGCCGAUGGCAGAUUAGCUAGUUGGUGGGGUAAAGGCCUACCAAGGCGACGAUCUGUAGCUGGUCUGAGAGGACGACCAGCCACACUGGGACUGAGACACGGCCCAGACUCCUACGGGAGGCAGCAGUGGGGAAUUUUGGACAAUGGGGGAAACCCUGAUCCAGCAAUGCCGCGUGUGUGAAGAAGGCCUUCGGGUUGUAAAGCACUUUUGUCCGGAAAGAAAACCUCUGCCCUAAUAUGGUGGGGGGAUGACGGUACCGGAAGAAUAAGCACCGGCUAACUACGUGCCAGCAGCCGCGGUAAUACGUAGGGUGCAAGCGUUAAUCGGAAUUACUGGGCGUAAAGCGUGCGCAGGCGGUCCGCUAAGACAGAUGUGAAAUCCCCGGGCUUAACCUGGGAACUGCAUUUGUGACUGGCGGGCUAGAGUAUGGCAGAGGGGGGUAGAAUUCCACGUGUAGCAGUGAAAUGCGUAGAGAUGUGGAGGAAUACCGAUGGCGAAGGCAGCCCCCUGGGCCAAUACUGACGCUCAUGCACGAAAGCGUGGGGAGCAAACAGGAUUAGAUACCCUGGUAGUCCACGCCCUAANCGAUGUCAACUAGUUGUNGGGGNUUCAUUNCNUUAGUAACGAAGCUAACGCGUGAAGUUGACCGCCUGGGGAGUACGGUCGCAAGAUUAAANCUCAAAGGAAUUGACGGGGACCCGCACAAGCGGUGGAUGAUGUGGAUUAAUUCGAUGCAACGCGAAAAACCUUACCUACCCUUGACAUGUAUGGAACCUGGCUGNNAGGUCGGGGUGCCCGAAAGGGAGCCAUAACACAGGUGCUGCAUGGCUGUCGUCAGCUCGUGUCNUGAGAUGUUGGGUUAAGUCCCGCAACGAGCGCAACCCUUGUCCCUAGUUGCUACGCAAGNNCACUCUAGGGANACUGCCGGUGANAANCCGGAGGAAGGUGGGGA